ACCCCCCGCCGCAACACCCCUUUCCCCCUUACAACCGCAUGUCCAACCUCUUAACCACAACCGUGCGUUCCCUGGGUCCCUCCAAGGGCCCGCGCUCCGCAGGUAAGUACAGCCGAGGGGAGGACGUACAAGCGGCCGAGGCUACGGGUGGCUGAGGCUACAGGUGGCCGGGGGUACAGGUGUUCAAGCUGUAGGCAACCAAAGCUACCGAUGGCCGAGGCUACAGGUGACCAAGCUGUAGGCAACGAAGGCUACAGGUGGCCGAGGCUACAGGUGGCCAAGGCUACAGGUGGCCGGGGGUACAGGCGUUCAAGCUGUAGGUGGCCAAGGCUACUGGCAGCCGAGGCUACAGGCGUCCAAGCUAUAGGCAGGCAAGGCUACAGGUGGUGGCCAAGGCUACAGGCAGCCGAAGCUACCAGCGGCUAAACUACUUGUGGCUGGGGCUACAGGCGACCAAGUUAUAGGUGACCAAGGCUGUAGGCGGCUGGGGCUACAGGCAGCCAAGGCUACCGGCGGCUAAGCUGUAGGUGGCCAAGGCUACCAGCAGCAAGACUGUAGGCGGCUGGGGCUACAGGUGGCUGAGGCUACUGGCGGCUGAAUUGUAGGCAACUGAGGCUACAGGCGGCCAGGCUACAGGUAACUAAGGCUGUGCACAGCCAGGGCUGCAGGCAGCCAAGCUAUAGCUAACCAAGGCUACAGGCGGUUGACCAAGCUACAGGCGGUUAAGCAAGCUGCAGGCGUUGCCCAGGGCUUCAGGUGUUGGCCAAGGCUACAGGCAGCCAAGGCUAGUGGUGGCCAAGGCUACAGGCAGCCAAGGCUAGUGGUGGCCAAGGCUACAGGCAGCCAAGGCUAGUGGUGGCUAAGGCUACAGGCAGCCAGGGCUACAGGCGUCCAAGGUAUAGGCAAGCAAGGCUACAGGCAGUGGCUGGGGCUAUAGGUGACCAGCGCUGUGGGCGGCAAAGGCUAUAGACACCUAAGGUUACAGGUGGCUGAGGCUACAGGUGGCCAAGCUGUAGGUAGCCAGGGCCACAGGUGGCCAAGGUACAGGCGGUUGACCACCUACAGGCACUGGCCAAGAAGGCUCCAGGCAGCCGAGGCUGCAGGCAGUGGGUGAGGCUACAAGCAGCCAAGGCCACAGGCAACCAAAGCUACAGGCAGCUAGUGCUACUGGUGGUGGCCAAGGCUACCGGCAGCCAAACUACAGGCAGCCAAGGUUACAGGCAGCCAGGGCUACAGGCGGUGGCAAAACUAUAGGUAGCCGUGGCUACAGCUGGCCAAGCUUAUAGAUGGCCAAGCUACAGGCGGCCGAGGCUACAGGCAGCCAAGGCUACUGUCAGCCAAACUACAGGCGGCCGAGGCUACAGGCAGCCAAGGCUGCUGUCAGCCAAACUACAGGCGGCCGAGGCUACAGGCAGCCAAGGCUACUGUCAGCCAAACUACAGGCGGCCGAGGCUACAGGCAGCCAAGGCUACUGUCAGCCAAACUACAGGCGGCCGAGGCUACAGGCAGCCAAGGCUACCGGCGGCCAAGGUUACAGGCAGCCAGGGCUACAGGCGGCGGCCGAGGCUACAGGCAGGCAGGGCUACCGGCAGCCACGGCUACAGGCACCCAAGCCCGCAGGCAGCCGAACUACAGGCGGUGGCUGAGGCUACAGGCGCUUAGGCUAUAGAUGGCUGAGGCUACAGGCAGCCAGGCUAUAGAUGGCCGAGGCUACAGGCAGCCGAACUACAGGCAGUGGCCGAGGCUACAGGCGGCCAAGGCUAUAGAUAGCCGAGGCUAGAGGCAGCCACAGGCGGUGGCCGAGGCUACAGGCAGCCAGGCUAUAGAUAGCCGAGGCUACAGGCAGCCCAGGCUACAGGCGGCCAAGGCAACAGGCAAGCCAACCUACAGUCGGAGGGUCGGGAAGCGCCGCUCUCACCCCCUCGGGAGGGCAAACCGGGUUAAAAACCGGGGCGGGGCGGGAAAAGAAACCCGAAGUCACCCGCGCCACCGGUCGUACGUCCGUUCGUUUUCCCGGCGGCCGACGGGGGCGUUACCGGCGGCGGACGGGGGCGUUAACCGACGGUUCAACGGUGUGGGGCGGGGGGGACGCCUGUUGCCGACCGGGGUUGUAUUAACACUGUUUUAUUGUCA